rnacentral:sRNA from 1 species
GCUGGGUGUGUUGGUGCACACCUGUAAUCCCAGCAGUUCGGGAGGCUGAGGCAGGAGGACCGCCAGUUCAAAGCUAGCCUCAGCAAUGGCGAGGUGCUGAGCAACUCAGUGAGACCCUGUCUCUA